AGAGUUUGAUCCUGGCUCAGGACGAACGCUGGCGGCACGCUUAACACAUGCAAGUCGAACGGUGAAGAGAAGCUUGCUUCUCGGAUCAGUGGCGGACGGGUGAGUAACACGUGAGCAACCUGCCUUUAAGAGGGGGAUAACGUUUGGAAACGAACGCUAAUACCGCAUAAUAUAGAAGAUUCGCAUGUUUCUUCUAUCAAAGAUUUAUCGCUUAAAGAUGGGCUCGCGUCUGAUUAGCUGGUUGGUGAGGUAACGGCUCACCAAGGCGACGAUCAGUAGCCGUACUGAGAGGUAGAACGGCCACAUUGGGACUGAGACACGGCCCAGACUCCUACGGGAGGCAGCAGUGGGGAAUAUUGCACAAUGGAGGAAACUCUGAUGCAGCGAUGCCGCGUGAGGGAAGAAGGUUUUCGGAUUGUAAACCUCUGUCUUCAGGGACGAUAAUGACGGUACCUGAGGAGGAAGCUCCGGCUAACUACGUGCCAGCAGCCGCGGUAAUACGUAGGGAGCGAGCGUUGUCCGGAAUUACUGGGUGUAAAGGGAGCGUAGGCGGGAUCUUAAGUCAGGUGUGAAAACUAUGGGCUCAACCCAUAGACUGCACUUGAAACUGAGGUUCUUGAGUGAAGUAGAGGCAGGCGGAAUUCCUAGUGUAGCGGUGAAAUGCGUAGAUAUUAGGAGGAACAUCAGUGGCGAAGGCGGCCUGCUGGGCUUUUACUGACGCUGAGGCUCGAAAGCGUGGGGAGCAAACAGGAUUAGAUACCCUGGUAGUCCACGCUGUAAACGAUGAUUACUAGGUGUGGGGGGACUGACCCCUUCCGUGCCGCAGUUAACACAAUAAGUAAUCCACCUGGGG
rnacentral:rRNA from 1 species